GCCCACAUCACUGGAGGUGGUUUUACAGAUAACAUACCUCGAGUUUUUCCAGAAGGUCUUGGAGCUGUUAUUUAUAAUAACUCCUGGGAAGUCCCAACUGUCUUCAAAUGGCUGCAAGAGGCUGGACGAAUAGAAGAUGCGGAGAUGAGGCGGACUUUUAACAUGGGUAUUGGCAUGGUUCUAAUCGUUACUGAGGAAGCAUCCCACAAAAUACUUGAGGAUGGACGUUAUAAAGCAUAUCGUAUUGGUGAAGUUGUAAAGGGUGAAGGGGUGAGCUGUCAUUAAAACAUGCAAUCUUUACCCAUUCCAUUUGAGUGUGUUACCUGAGAUGAGAAAUACAGUGAAUUGUAGCUUUUGUCAAUUUAACUUGAAAUAUUCUGUCUUAAA
rnacentral:misc_RNA from 1 species